ACCUGCGGAGGGAUCAUUACCGAGUUUU
rnacentral:rRNA from 1 species